CCUUCGGUAGCCCAGCGGUAGAGCGCGAGAUCAUACAUGGUGUGCGCGAAAAUAUGUUUCAUCUCGAAACGCUGGUUCGAGUCCAGCCUGAAGGA
rfam:Peniophora sp. CONT PENSPscaffold_51_Cont95, whole genome shotgun sequence.